rnacentral:rRNA from 1 species
GACAGAGGUGCCAAGCGUUAGGCGGAAUCACUGGGCUUAAAGCGUGUGUAGGCGGAAUUGUAAGUACCUUGUGAAAUCCCACGGCUCAACCGUGGAACUGCUCGGUAUACUGCUUUUCUUGAGCCACUUAGGGGCUGUCGGAACAAACGGUGGAGCGGUGAAAUGCGUAGAUAUCGAGAGGAACACCUGCGGCGAAGGCGGGUUGCUGGGCCGACACUGACGCUGAGGCGCGAAAGCCAGGGGAGCGAACGGG